UUGGAACUCACAGGCAGAUCUGGAUCAAGUGAGCAAUGUCGGACAGAAAAGCAGAGGGGGGAGAGACACCGCCCUUUCCCUACACAAUUAGUUAGUUGAAAGAGAAAUCGUUCUGCUGAGGUCCUGAAGAGACUGAUCAAUAACUGUUGGACGAGGCUAUGUGCGGAAUUCCAGGUAGCAGCCAUAGCUGAUGAGGCAGUGGACAUUUACUUGACAACUCCAGAGGCAAAAGCAUUGUUCAACGGUCAUCCCUCAGGACACUGUGAGCAGGUGGACCUUCUGGACCUGCUGCUGCAAAACCUCCAGUCUGUCGUCCACAC